rnacentral:rRNA from 1 species
ACCGGCGCACGGGUGAGUAACGCGUAUCCAACCUUCCCAUUACUGUGGGAUAACCUGCCGAAAGGCAGACUAAUACCGCAUAGUCUUCGAUGACGGCAUCAGAUUUGAAGUAAAGAUUUAUCGGUAAUGGAUGGGGAUGCGUCUGAUUAGCUUGUUGGCGGGGUAACGGCCCACCAAGGCGACGAUCAGUAGGGGUUCUGAGAGGAAGGUCCCCCACAUUGGAACUGAGACACGGUCCAAACUCCUACGGGAGGCAGCAGGG